CCCAAAUAGGACGAAACGCGCGUCCUGGAU
rfam:Schistosoma mattheei strain Denwood, Zambia genome assembly, scaffold: SMTD_scaffold0010957